GAUGAACGCUGGCGGCGUGCUUAACACAUGCAAGUCGAACGAUGAAGCCCAGCUUGCUGGGUGGAUUAGUGGCGAACGGGUUAGUAACACGUGAGUAACCUGCCCUUGACUCUGGGAUAAGCCUGGGAAACUGGGUCUAAUACUGUAUAUGACUUCUCAUCGCAUGGUGGGGGGUGGAAAGAUUUAUUGGUCUUGGAUGGACUCGCGGCCUAUCAGCUUGUUGGUGAGGUAAUGGCUCACCAAGGCGACGACGGGUAGCCGGCCUGAGAGGGUGACCGGCCACACUGGGACUGAGACACGGCCCAGACUCCUACGGGAGGCAGCAGUGGGGAAUAUUGCAAAAUGGGCGCAAGCCUGAUGCAGCGACGCCGCGUGAGGGAUGACGGCCUUCGGGUUGUAAACCUCUUUCAGUAGGGAAGAAGCGAGAGUGACGGUACCUGCAGAAGAAGCGCCGGCUAACUACGUG
rnacentral:rRNA from 1 species